UGGCGAACGGGUGAGUAACACGUGGGUAACCUGCCCAUCAGAAGGGGAUAACACUUGGAAACAGGUGCUAAUACCGUAUAACACUAUUUUCCGCAUGGAAGAAAGUUGAAAGGCGCUUUUGCGUCACUGAUGGAUGGACCCGCGGUGCAUUAGCUAGUUGGUGAGGUAACGGCUCACCAAGGCAACGAUGCAUAGCCGACCUGAGAGGGUGAUCGGCCACACUGGGACUGAGACACGGCCCAGACUCCUACGGGAGGCAGCAGUAGGGAAUCUUCGGCAAUGGACGAAAGUCUGACCGAGCAACGCCGCGUGAGUGAAGAAGGUUUUCGGAUCGUAAAAACUCU
rnacentral:rRNA from 1 species